ensembl:lncRNA
GGUGUACGAAUUUGGCUCGGAGUCAAGCAGGUCUUGCAGCAAAGCAGGAAACGACACUGGAUCGACUGGACUGAGAGCCUCAUGUUUUCAUAGCGCCGAAACUCCACGCUUGUUUUGGGCGUUGAAGAAAACACGUGGGAGAAAUAUACAUAUAUAUAGAGGAGUCCGAGGACAUGGAGCGACGCUUUUAAACUGUCCGUCAUGGAGGUGGCAAACGAAGAGGCAGCCAGUAAAGUCUACGCAGUUUUAAUGGAGCCCGAGUCCGAGACCGUGAACCGUUUGAGGACAAAGUACCAGUCACUGCGGCGACAGGUGUGUUUAAUCCAGUCCAUCAGCGUGUUCCUCUGCUUCAGCUGCUGCCUGUUCACGCUCCUGUAUCACGCGUUCCCGCAGACCUGCACGGAAAAUGGAACUAAGGAGACAUCUAAAUUUGAAAUGCAGCAUCAAGAUUUUGAAUCGCAAAGCAGAGAAGAAACGAACCCGACACAAAGAGAGACAUCUUUCAUUCGCCUGACAGUUAAAAAUGAUGUCAAUUUCACGAAAGACGGAUUUGUGCCAUGGAUGGAUACACCAGAGUAUUCGUCACCAAGCCAUACCAGAUACUUCAUCUUGGAAGAAGAUAAUGAAUCUCUGAAAGUCCUUCAUGACGGAACAUACAAGGUUUCUCUGCAGAUUACGUACAGAAAAUUAAGUGAAAAGCCAGAAAAAGAUGAAAUAUUUCUGCAACAUGAUAUUCGUCUUGAUACUGAUGGAUAUCCUCAUCCCCUGCCCCUGCUCACCCACUGCGAAACAGUGAACAUUACACACUGGAGGAAAAGUCUGUUUUCUGAAGGUAUUUUUUACUUCAAUUCUGGGGACAGACUCAAGGUGUGGUCCAAUAAUCUGAUCCUCAUUGAUGUUGGAGAAAAAUAUGUGCAAAAAACAGUGUUUGUGGUGUAUCCUCAUUUUACCCCGUGAGGAUACAGCGAAUACAAAAAACAUAAAGACAAUUACUUCUGUAGCUUUGAUUAAUGAUCAAAAGGGCUGCCAUGAAGUAUCAUAUUCAUCUGUCUGGGAUGACCCUGUCAUCUAAACCGAUUCUCCUGUCUGCAAAAUCUGAUCUAUUUAUGCUAUAAUCAGUAGCAUGGUCAUGUACAGAAGAAAACCCUUACCAAAAAAUACUGUGGUACAUUAAUGGUGUCAAAUGGUAAUACUAGAGUACUUUGAUGGAAACUAUGCUGGUGAAAUUCAUUCCCUCUAGUGUCGUUUUCAAGAAUAUCAUGGUAUUUCCAUGCUAUGUGUUAAACAACUUGCUAAUACCAUAGUAUUUUUUUGGUAUUUUCUUUUGUAAGAGAAGACUAUUCUGCUUCACAGCUAGGGACAAAACAGACAUUGGCUUGGGUUUUAAAAGCUACAUUUUGUUUAAGCACUACAACUGUGGAAAAAUUGUAAUUUUGUAAUUAAGUUUUAUUUUUGUUUCAUUUUGAUUGAAAUUGGUUAAAAAAAAAGGCUGAACCGUACUAUAUGCUAUAAUGUUUAUGCCAUUGUAAACAUAUAUGCUUGUGUAUGUAAUUAUUGAUCAAGGAUUUGGGCUGUUAAUGCAAAAUUUACAGGUUCGGUAACAUUACGAAGUGAAGAGAAUUAUCAAUACUCAAAAUCCUGUAUUGUGGUGCAUCAUGGGUUCUGUCAUUGGCAUUAGUAAGCUAUAAGUUACUUUGUAUUAAAAGGGAUUGCAAUCACAAAAUAUGACCUUAGUAAUAAUUUGCAUGAAAGAUCAUUUUAUGUAUUGGAAUACAUCUUCAUAAUUACAUUAUUUUGUUGAGCAUGAUCAAUAAAUACUAUUACAUAAAGCUGUCUUUGUCUCA